rnacentral:tRNA from 1 species
GGGUGUGUAGCUCAGUGGUAGAGCGGCUGACUGCAGAUCAGAAGGUCCUCGAUUCAAAUCUGGGUGCGCCCU